GCCUUCGUGGUGCAGUGGUUAGCACACUCGACGUGUAUUCAAGAAGUCCGGGGUUCGAGGCCCGGCGAGGGCG